AUGCAAAGAUAAUCGCUUUAACUUAAAUUCGAGUAGAGCUAGUACGUGAAAGAUUAGGUGCAUCCAUUCCUGCACUAGACACACGUUUUCUGGGAAUUAAUUCACAGGGCACUGUACACGUCAGCGAUUUUUAACUAUGGCUUCCAAGAUUCUAGCCACCGCGCUCCGCCGUACGGUUGCUAAACCCUCCAUAUAUUCUCGCCGCUUCUCCACUGCGGCGGCGGCGGCAGUAGAGCCAUUCGAGGAGGACGCCGCCGGAAUCACCAUGAAAGGAGUAAGGAUCGCCGGCAGGCCUCUGUACCUGGACGUGCAAGCCACGUCCCCGGUGGACCCCAGAGUCCUGGACGCCAUGCUUCCCUACUAUCUCUCCCGCUUCGGCAACCCUCACUCGCGCACCCAUCUCUACGGCUGGGAAUCCGACCGGGCCGUCGAGGAGGCCCGAGCCCACGUCGCGGCCCUCAUCAAUGCUUCCCCCAAGGAGAUUAUUUUCACUUCGGGAGCUACCGAGUCGAAUAACGUCUCCGUUAAGGGCGUCAUGCACUUCUACAGGGAGAAGAAGCGCCACGUCAUCACUACCCAGACGGAGCACAAGUGCGUUCUCGAUUCCUGCCGUCAUCUCCAGCAAGAGGGUUUCGACGUCACUUAUCUUCCGGUUGACCCGGACGGCCUCGUUAACCUAGAUAAGCUCCGGGCCGCGAUCCGACCCGACACCGGUCUCGUUUCAAUCAUGAUGGUGAAUAAUGAGAUCGGCGUGAUUCAGCCCGUCGAGGAAAUCGGGAAAAUUUGCAGGGAAUUCAAUGUUCCUUUCCACACCGAUGCCGCACAGGCUCUGGGGAAGAUUCAAAUCGACGUUGAAACGAUGAACAUUAGUUUAAUGUCGCUAAGUGGGCAUAAGAUCUACGGCCCUAAAGGCGUGGGAGCUUUGUACAUGAGACGCCGGCCGAGAAUUCGAGUUGAGCCCCAAAUGAAUGGCGGUGGACAGGAGAGAGGGAUUAGGAGUGGGACUGUUCCAACUCCAUUGGUAGUAGGGUUUGGGGCAGCCUGUGAGCUAGCCAACAAGGAAAUGGAAUAUGACACUGUAAAGAUCAAAUCUUUACAGGAUAGGCUACUGAAUGGAAUCAAGGCUAGAAUUGAUGGUGUGGUUGUCAAUGGCAGUUUAGAGAGGCGCUAUGCUGGGAAUUUGAACCUGUCUUUCGCGUAUGUGGAGGGCGAGAGCUUGUUGAUGGGGCUUAAGGAGGUUGCAGUGUCGAGCGGGAGCGCUUGCACUAGCGCUAGCUUGGAGCCCUCGUAUGUUUUGAGGGCGCUGGGAGUGGAAGAGGACAUGGCACACACGUCGAUUAGAUAUGGAAUCGGGCGGUUCACUACAGAGGAGGAGAUUGAUAGAGCAGUGGAGCUUACAGUGAAUCAGGUCGAGAAAUUGAGGGAGAUGAGCCCACUUUAUGAGAUGGUUAAGGAAGGCAUUGAUAUUAAGAGUAUUCAAUGGACACAACACUGAUACAUUUCGUUACUGGAGCUUUCAUAUUCUGAUGCUAUUAGGUGGCUGCCAGGGUUGCAGGAAUGAACAAAGUUUAGGCAGUGAAAAUGGCUUGACAGGAAGAUGAUGAAGUAAAUGAUAAGGGCAGCAUUGGGAUUCUUGAUUCACUUUGAAAUGGGUAUCACAAUCAGGCCAAAAGGGGGAUUCUUUAGGAAGGACAUUUUGUGGCUGUUUCAUCUCUUGUGAAAAUCUAUUGAUAGAGGUGAGUACAUUUUGUCCCAACCCAAAAAGAUGUCAGCAUUAUAUUUUCUUGAAAAGAAGAAUACUGGACCAUAAGAUAUAAAAAGGACUUUGGGAAUCAGAAUAUAAUUUCAAUGUU